GACGAACGCUGGCGGCGUGCCUAAUACAUGCAAGUCGAGCGGAGUUAUUCCUUCGGGGAUAACUUAGCGGCGGACGGGUGAGUAACACGUAGGCAACCUGCCUGUAAGAUCGGGAUAACUACCGGAAACGGUAGCUAAGACCGAAUAAUCAGCUUGGUCGCAUGAUCGAGCUGGGAAAAGCGGAGCAAUCUGCUACUUACAGAUGGGCCUGCGGCGCAUUAGCUAGUUGGUGGGGUAACGGCUCACCAAGGCGACGAUGCGUAGCCGACCUGAGAGGGUGAACGGCUACACUGGGACUGAGACACGGCCCAGACUCCUACGGGAGGCAGCAGUAGGGAAUCUUCCGCAAUGGACGCAAGUCUGACGGAGCAACGCCGCGUAAGUGAUGAAGGUUUUCGGAUCGUAAAGCUCUGUUGCCAGGGAAGAACGCUUGGGAGAGUAACUGCUCUCAAGGUGACGGUACCUGAGAAGAAAGCCCCGGCUAACUACGUGCCAGCCGCCGCGGUAA
rnacentral:rRNA from 1 species